rnacentral:rRNA from 1 species
GGAGGAGGAUAAAUACUGGAAACGGUGGCUAAUACCGCAUAACGUCGCAAGACCAAAGAGGGGGACCUUCGGGCCUCUUGCCAUCAGAUGUGCCCAGAUGGGAUUAGCUUGUUGGUGAGGUAACGGCUCACCAAGGCGACGAUCCCUAGCUGGUCUGAGAGGAUGACCAGCCACACUGGAACUGAGACACGGUCCAGACUCCUACGGGAGGCAGCAGUGGGGAAUAUUGCACAAUGGGCGCAAGCCUGAUGCAGCCAUGCCGCGUGUAUGAAGAAGGCCUUCGGGUUGUAAAGUACUUUCAGCGGGGAGGAAGGUGUUGUGGUUAAUAACCGCAGCAAUUGACGUUACCCGCAGAAGAAGCACCGGCUAACUCCGUGCCAGCAGCCGCGGUAAUACGGAGGGUGCAAGCGUUAAUCGGAAUUACUGGGCGUAAAGCGCACGCAGGCGGUCUGUCAAGUCGGAUGUGAAAUCCCCGGGCUCAACCUGGGAACUGCAUUCGAAACUGGCAGGCUUGAGUCUUGUAGAGGGGGGUAGAAUUCCAGGUGUAGCGGUGAAAUGCGUAGAGAUCUGGAGGAAUACCGGUGGCGAAGGCGGCCCCCUGGACAAAGACUGACGCUCAGGUGCGAAAGCGUGGGGAGCAAACAGGAUUAGAUACCCUGGUAGUCCACGCCGUAAACGAUGUCUACUUGGAGGUUGUGCCCUUGAGGCGUGGCUUCCGGAGCUAACGCGUUAAGUAGACCGCCUGGGGAGUACGGCCGCAAGGUUAAAACUCAAAUGAAUUGACGGGGGCCCGCACAAGCGGUGGAGCAUGUGGUUUAAUUCGAUGCAACGCGAAGAACCUUACCUGGUCUUGACAUCCACAGAAUUUUGCAGAGAUGCGGAAGUGCCUUCGGGAACUGUGAGACAGGUGCUGCAUGGCUGUCGUCAGCUCGUGUUGUGAAAUGUUGGGUUAAGUCCCGCAACGAGCGCAACCCUUAUCCUUUGUUGCCAGCGGUUAGGCCGGGAACUCAAAGGAGACUGCCAGUGAUAAACUGGAGGAAGGUGGGGAUGACGUCAAGUCAUCAUGGCCCUUACGACCAGGGCUACACACGUGCUACAAUGGCGCAUACAAAGAGAAGCGACCUCGCGAGAGCAAGCGGACCUCAUAAAGUGCGUCGUAGUCCGGAUUGGAGUCUGCAACUCGACUCCAUGAAGUCGGAAUCGCUAGUAAUCGUGGAUCAGAAUGCCACGGUGAAUACGUUCCCGGGCCUUGUACACACCGCCCGUCACACCAUGGGAGUGGGUUGCAAAAGAAGUAGGUAGCUUAACCUUCGGGAGGGCGCUUACCACUUUGUGAUUCAUGACUGGGGUGAAGUCGUAACAAGGUAACCGUAGGGGAACCUGCGGUUGGAUCACCUCCUUACCUUAAAGAAGC